rnacentral:misc_RNA from 1 species
GAUGAAGAACGUAGUGAAAUGCGAUAAGUAAUGUGAAUUGCAGAAUUCAGUGAAUCAUCGAAUCUUUGAACGCACAUUGCGCCCCUUGGUAUUCCGAGGGGCAUGCCUGUUCGAGCGUCAUUAUAACCCUCAAGCUCGGCUUGGUGUUGGGGCCUGCUGCACUGGCAGCCCUUAAAAUCAGUGGCGGCGCCAUCUGGCUCUAAGCGUAGUAAUUCUUCUCGCUAUGGAGUCCUGGUGGAUGCUUGCCAUCAACCCCCAAUUUUUCUAUGGUUGACCUCGGAUCAGGUAGGGAUACCCGCUGAACUUAAGCAUAUCAAUAAGCGGAGGA